rnacentral:rRNA from 1 species
UAGGGAAUAUUAGAAAUGGACGAAAGUCUGAUCUAGCAACACCGCGUGUGCGAAGAAGGCCUUCGGGUCGUAAAGCACUUUUUGGAAGGAAUAGGAAGGAAUGUACUUCCAGAAUAAGACUCGGCUAACUACGUGCCAGCAGCAGCGGUAACACGUAGGAGGCGAACGUUAUCCGGAUUUACUGGGCGUAAAGCGCGUGUAGGUGGUUCUGUAAGUAGGGCGUGAAAGCUCCUGGCUCAACUGGGAGAGGCCGUUCUAAACUACAGAACUAGAGGAUGGUAGAGGGAGGUGGAAUUCCAGGUGUAGCGGUGGAAUGCGCAGAUAUCUGGAGGAACACCAGUGGCGAAGGCGGCCUCCUGGACCAUUCCUGACACUCAGACGCGAAAGCUAGGGUAGCAAACG